rnacentral:ncRNA from 1 species
CGGGUUGUUUGGGAAUGCAGCCCAAGCGGGUGGUAAACUCCAUCUAAGGCUAAAUACGGUCACGAGACCGAUAGCGAACAAGUACCGUGAGGGAAAGUUGAAAAGCACUUUGGAGAGAGAGUUAAAAAGUACGUGAAACCAUGCUUUUCAAAACAAACUAAUGCAAAAGUGCAAAUCAAACCUUUCUUCGUUCAUUAAGUUCAAUUGAUUCAACACUUUCUUCAGAUUUUGUAGAAGUUUUAAGUGAUUCGGUUUCCUUUUCUUUUUCAACCUCCUGCGAGAUGAGAUUUCUAGCUUCCCUAGACAGUUUCUCUUCUGCUAUGCUCUCAGAAGACAUCUUUGGUACCUCCAAAACUGGA